CAACUACGUACAUAUUGAUAGAGAGACAACAGUGGUGGAGCUCAUCUCCGACAAUGCAUAUUUUUAAGUUGGCCUUACAGAUUGGAGGAAGGGAGUCAGCUUGAGUUCUGAUCCAAGAACAGCUAUCCCUUUCUGAAUGGCAGCAACAUAAAUAAGAAGACUGUGGGCUUCAUAAGGAUGCAAGAACCUCAUCCUCCUCUGCACAUCAGCAGGAUGACAGUGAAGCAGUGCUCAGCCAGCUUCAAAUUCCUGGGACUGCAUAUCACUGACAACCUCUCCUAGUCCCUGAAGACCUCCUCCUUAGUGAGACAGGCUCAUCAGUAGCUCUUAGACCUCAGGAGACUAAAAAAAAAGGAUGGGCAUUGACACACUCAUUCUGACCUCCAGCAUCACUGUCAGGUAGGGAAACUGCUCCAUCUCAGGUAGGAAAGCACAGCAAUGAGUGAAGAAGAACCCCAAAGACAUUACAUGAGGAAAGCAUGUCCUGGUCCUCCAUUGCUAACAGCAAAUUGAGAUGAAGAGGACAUCACAAUCUGGGUCUCCGUGGGCCCGGAAUGAUUGGGCACAUGGCAGGAAUUCUCUUUGGACAGGAUGCUGGACUUUCACAGGUACCACAAACACAUCCUCACACCCACAUCUUAAAACAGUCAACUGGGAUUUUUGAGCGAUUCAAAAU
rnacentral:lncRNA from 1 species